rnacentral:rRNA from 1 species
GGAAUAUUGGGCAAUGGCCGAGAGGCUGACCCAGCCAUGCCGCGUGCAGGAAGAAGGCCUUCUGGGUUGUAAACUGCUUUUCCCAGGGAAGAAAACGCUCUUGCGAGAGUAACUGACGGUACAUGGUGCAUCAGCCCCGGCUAACUCCGUGCCAGCAGCCGCGGUAAUACGGAGUGUGCACGCGUUGCCCGGAUUUAUUGGGUUUAAAGGGUGCGUAGGCGGCCCGUUAAGUCAGCGGUGAAAUCCCAGGGCUCAACCCUGGAACUGCCGUUGAUACUGGCGGGCUUGAGUUCGGUCGAGGCGGGCGGAACUGGUGGUGUAGCGGUGAAAUGCAUAGAUACCACCAAGAACCCCGAUUGCGAAGGCAGCUCGCUGGCCCGAAACUGACGCUGAGGCACGAAAGCGUGGGGAGCGAAC